GAUGAACGCUGGCUACAGGCUUAACACAUGCAAGUCGAGGGGAAACGACGGGGAAGCUUGCUUCCCCGGGCGUCGACCGGCGCACGGGUGAGUAACGCGUAUCCAACCUGCCUCUGACUGAGGGAUAACCCGUCGAAAGUCGGCCUAAUACCUCAUGGCAUCGUCUGCGGGCAUCCAACGACGAUUAAAGAUUUCAUCGGUCAGGGAUGGGGAUGCGUCUGAUUAGCUGGUUGGCGGGGUAACGGCCCACCAAGGCGACGAUCAGUAGGGGUUCUGAGAGGAAGGUCCCCCACAUUGGAACUGAGACACGGUUCAAACUCCUACGGGAGGCAGCAGUGAGGAAUAUUGGUCAAUGGGCGAGAGCCUGAACCAGCCAAGUAGCGUGCAGGACGACGGCCCUAUGGGUUGUAAACUGCUUUUAUGCGGGGAUAAAGUGAGGGACGUGUCCCUCAUUGCAGGUACCGCAUGAAUAAGG
rnacentral:rRNA from 1 species